CAAGGAUGUGGACUCAGAGGGGUCCAACAGACUUGUUGCAGGCCAUCGUGGGUAUGGUCACAGGUCUGUCUAUUUCUAUGGGGGUAGAUAUGUGAUGGAUGGCCUGAUUUGUUUGGUACGGGCCACAAGCUUGCAGCACCAUUUUUGUGACUGUUUUCCAUGUGUCUAGAUGUCUCUGUGUUGUGUGCCUGUAUUCUACAUAGAGCAGUAUGUGUCUGUAUAUGCAGAUGUGGGUCAACAA